GUGCUGCAUUUCUGGAGGAGGUGCUAAGCAGACGUCCUGGCCCGUCCCACCUUGCUGCUGCCACAAGGAGGGAGGAGUUCAGUGUGGGCUGGUUCUCGAAGGUCCCCACCCUCGGAACUAUCUUCCAGAGUCCCGGAGCUGUGCGGGGGCCCCGGAUCCUCUGGCUAACCGUCCGGAUAACCAACAGGACAGACAGAUGGUGCUUUGCCUGGAUGUAUCUGUGCACCACAUACAUGCCUACUGCCCACAAAAGUCAGAAGAGGCAUCCUAUAGACUGGAACUGGAGUUACAGAUGGCUGUGAACCACCAUGUAGGUGCUGGGAACUGAACCCACAUCCUCUGAAAGAACAUAAAUUGCCCUCGACCAUUGUAAGUUGCUAGAAGGAUAAGCCGUCUGUCUGUACCCAGUUGUGCCUAUUCCAGUAACAUUAUAACAAAGAUAAACAUGUCAACUGUUGGGAAGAGAUCGUGGAUUCUGCCCCCCUUAAGACUGGCUUGUGUGUUACUCCAGUGUGAAGACCAUGCAUUUAAUUCAGUCUGACCAAGUAGAAAAUAAGCUCCGAACACUGGUGCUCCCCACUGCCCGCGCCACCUGGACCGGCCUCCAUCCAUUCGUCUCCCCCACCGCUGCCUUCGAGGGGAAAUAUGACAGCGUAAUGAACAGUUGUACGACGUGCUAUAAAAAGGCAAUUAAGGGAACUAUCAGACUGGGACAAGCCAGCGUGACCCGGUUAAUAGCUCUGAGCUCUGAGUGGGGCCGAGGGGAGGACGGGCUGAAGGAGGGGGAGGGGACUUGCUGUUUACAGUGAGGGGCUGAAGUUAGUCUAGCAACUAUCAGCUAACAAAGGGCCCUUGGCUGCCCUCAUGGCCGCUGGGUCCAGGGACAACUCUAGGGUCAUGUUAGUUGAGAGUAAAGCUCUGCUCACAACCCUGCGCUGGUGGCCUUGACCUGGGCAAAUGACCCCUAGUCUCUUGGCUACAGUUUCCUGUUUUGUUAAAAGGGAUGAUGCCGGGAACUGUGUUCCAGAAGUGGGGGAAAGGAUACAUUUUUAUUUGCGUUCCUCUGUGUGUGUGUGUGUGUGUGUGUGUGUGUGUGUGUGUGUGUGUGUGUGUGUGUGUGUGUUUGUGUAUGUGUAUGCAUACAUCAUAUACAGCAUAAACAGCAUACAUCAUAUGUCAUAUACAUAUAUAUCAUAUAUACCAUGUACACAUGCAAUACACAUACACGCACAUAUAUAUGUGUAUAUAUGGGGAUUUCUUAGAAUCACUUGCAGGCUAUGGUUCAAUUAAUCCAACAAUGGCAAGUUACAAACAGAAGGUUCAAGAAUCCAGAAGUUUCUCAGUCUGUGGGGCUGAUGUCUCAGCUGGUCUUCAGCAGAUGCUGGGAUUCUGAAGAAGUAGGCUCUAAUGCAGUGGUUCUCAACCUUCUUGAUGCUGCAACCUUUAAUAUAUUUCUUCAUGUUAUGGUGACCCUCCACCAUAAAUUACUUCACUGCUACUUCAUAACUUAUUUUGCUACUGCUAUAAAUUGUAAUGUAAAUAUCUGAUAUGCAGGAUAUCUAAUAUGUAACCCCCAGAAGGGUCACUACCCACAGGUUGAGAAUGGCUCUAAUGUCAGUGAGGGAAGGAAUGGACUUGCUAGCAAGGCAGAGCAAACAAAGAGCAAAAGCUGCCUUCUUCCAUGUACCUUCCAUGUAGGUUUCCAGCAGAAGGUGUGGCCCAGGAUAAAGGUGUGUCUUCCUGCCUCAAGGUCAAAGGUGUGCACCUUCUUGCCUCAAAGGUCUGAACUAGAAGUGGAUUUACCUGCUUCACACAAAGCAAAAGUAAUUUCUCACAGGCGUGCCCUCCAUUUCUGGAUCAUAUUUUAUUCCAGAUGUAGUCAAGUUGACAACCAAGAAGAACCAUCACAAGGUCUGCCCAGGAAGCCAUCUCCCAGCCAGGAUGGGAAGGUUUUCAUUGUGGAAUGUCAGUGCAGGAAUUGGCCCUUAGCAUCCAAAGGAACUUAGGUGGAGGCUCUAUGUGAUGUCCCAGCAGGGAGCUCCAGUUGAAUACAAUCUUGGGUUGUGGUGAGUGCUAGAGGGUAGUCUGGCCCUUCACCCUUCAUGCAAUGCAAACUCUCUGGGCAGAUCUAUAGUCAGCCUUGGGCCAUUUGUUUCCCUUUUAGGAUCCCUUGAGUCACCUCCUCCAUUCCCCAGGCUCUGCUGCCUUCCUAUUUUUUGUUUGUCAUCCACAUGACCUGCAGGACGGGAUCAGAGACACUCAUGCUCGCCCUAGUGCUUGCUUCUCUUGGCUUCACAGUGCGGGUGGGAGGAGUGAUGGGUUUUCAUACUACACAGGGUAGGAAGUCACCACUUGGCACAUGGUAAAGGCCCAAUGGGUACCAGUUAUUGUUUAGAUCACAACAUGGCUCUGGGUUUGUAUUUAGUACGCAACUCAUGCUGACCAUAGAGUGAGUGAAUAUUUGGUAACUGUUGUCUGAAGUGUUGGAGGAAAUCUCACCUGGGUCUUGUUGUCUAUCAGACCUCUGAGCCCAUUAUCCAUCAGUCCCAUAGGGAGAUGAUCCUGUCUAGCGGUUAGAGAAGUGUGCCAUCCAUAGAGUGGUCCCUAUACAUCCCCACCUGCAUCCGCAUCCUGUGCCUGAAUUUCUCAGAGCUCAGGGAGCAUUCAGCUCUCCCACCACGGGUGUUUAUCUUAAAAUAGGAAACCAGUAUGCUCAGGGUCUGCAGAGACCCCAUUCCCCCGCCCCUGCCCCCGCCCCCAUCCCCCACUCCUGCCCCCUCCAGUGCUGCUGCAGAUGGAAGCAACUGACAGCCAGCCCAGUGACAAAGGAGCAAUCAACAGUCAUUAGGGCUCAUUUAAGGACAGCUCAAGGAUGUCUUGAAAAUCCCAGCAUGCUCCUCACUCCAGAUGAAGAGGGUCUGAGUCCCUGGGCUCUUUCUCUUCAGCACCUACCACAGAGGAGGGCUGUGCCAGGCAAGUGGCCCAGGACUUUAUUCCUCAGGCCUGUGUGCUGGCAUCCCUUACCUCUGAAGGUACAAUGGCACUGAGAGCCAAGUGUGGGUCUCACCACUGAGCCACCCUCACAUCAGAAGCAAAAUUGAUCCGAGUCACCAGAGCAGAGCAGAGGCCAAAUGUAAUCUCCUAUGUGGCCAGGAGACUCAUCUGACACACACAGAACCUCGGUUUCUGCUCCUGUUCACUGGGCAUAACUAGACCUUCCCCUCAUAGUGGCCAAGAGGAUUGAAGGAAGGAAAUACAGUGCUUACAUGCAAUAUGAACAUGCAUACCUAUUCCAUGGGAUCACUGCUCAUCCUCAGGUCUCUACUUAAGAGGCCACCUCCAGCUUGCAUGUAGGUUCUUUUCAAGUCUCAAGUUUCAAGCAUGUAUUCUACUCCUAAGUACUUUGACACCCUCUGUGUUUCCCUGGAAUGUUGCACACAUAUAUGAUUCUGGGCCCGAAUCCAGGUGCUUAGUAUGAAUUGUGUCAAAGAGGAGGCUCUUCACAGACCUGUGGGGAAACCACUGUGCUGACAGCCCAGCAAGGGCUAAAUGGGAUGAUGAUGUCACUGGAAGCAGAGUUCCCAUUACCCUGGACUUGGGGAGGUGGGAAUGAGUCCUUAAGUCACCCAGCUUUGUAUAUUAGCAAGACUGGCCUUCUUCUUCUCACCCUUGCUCAGAUGUUUUCCUCUUUGGACAUUCUAUGCUUGUCCAGGGAGUCCUGCUGGACCAUCCAGCUCACAGUGGUCUGUAGAAAUGGAACCUGCCUUUCUCCAGCCAUAGACUGGCUCUCAGGGGAUGCAUAUGGGCAUAGUCUGUGUUCUUGUCCCAGCAUUUAUCAUAGAUAGUUCUCAUUUUUCCCAUCUGGUGUGUUGAGUGUCUCUUGUGUAUCACCUGGUUAUAACCUCAGCUCCAGUCACUAACUCCAGUCCAAAGGACCAUUCUUGGAAGCAGCAAGGUUCCAGGGCACUGCAGGGAAGGCAGAGGCUUCAGGAGAGCUGGGACCAGGGCCCUUCUCUGCUUUUUCUCAGACUGCAAGGCUCUCAGACCAGAGUUAGAUGCUUGGCUCCAGCUGGCCAAACUCCUUAAAACAAAGAGACAGUCCUACCCCAGGGGAGUCACCUUUGAGAGGAGAGGUUCAGGCGCAGCUAGCAUUGAGUUUAAAGAUGCCUUUUGAAGACAACCAGUAAGAACUCACCCCAGCACUGCACACCAGUGUUCACAGUGUUACAGUGUCCAGGCAUGACCCUGGCAGGACUUCUGGGAGUCUCUUGACAAGAUAUCAGGUCUGCCAUUGCUUCCCCAGGUGGGUACGGGUAGAGUGCAGCAAAGCAGGAGCAGGGAUUUCACUUUUGCCACCCAGCCUUCGGCGUGUUUACCCCUUUUCUCUUCUUUUCACUCUCCUUCUCAGGAUGGCCUCUGACCUCCCCAUGGAGGCUUUUCUUGAUGUCUUUAUCUCUAUCAGCCACCACCAGCUCUGCCCCUCGGCCACCAUGGGAGCACAUGCAGGGACCACAGGCAACACACAACAGAGAUGUGUAGGAUAGGAAAAUGACUUUGAAAAUCCCCGAGGCUCCUCGGGAUCCAUCUUAAUGUUUCUGGUCUAAGAUCAAUAGGUGAGGAGACCUCCACGCCUAUAAUUAGCUCGAAUCCUCGAGGAGAGGGACCGGAAGGAGAUAUUCACUCAGCAUCCCCAGUCAGCAGGCAAGGGACAUAAGCUCUUAUUAUGGCUUUUCCCAGAACAGAAGUUCCUAUGUUUCCUCUUUUCCUAAAUCCCCUUUUAUCUCAUAUGACUCAGAAAUGCAUGUGCCUACCUGUUCACGGUAUGAAAUGCAUGUGAUGAACUCUAACUCCUGUUUCCUCCACGGCAGACUUGAACUGCAUGUGGCUAUUCCUGGGGAGGUGAUCUUAGCCUGUGAACACAGUGUGAGCCACACAGGCAGAUGUGUCAUUGACCCCUCCAUCUGCUUAUUUAUUUGCUUGUUUGCUUAUAUUUGUUUUGGGUUUUUUUUUGCUUUUUUCUAGAUUAAAACAAUUUUCUAAUAUUUUGUUUUAUGUGCAUACAUGUGUGUGCAUGGGUGCACACAUGCCAUGGCACAGGUGCAGAGGUCAGAGGACAAACUUGUGGGGAUCACUUCCAUCUCUUCACCAAAGAUCAAACUCAAGUGGUGUCAGGUUUGGUAGCAAAUGCUUUUAUCUGUUGAGCUAUCUUUGCAGACUCUUAAUGACUUUAUUGGCAUAUAUUGAUUAUACAUAAUGAUGCGAUUCAUAUAAUGUACUUGAUCUGCUUGCUCUCUACUGUUACUCUCUCUUGUCCUCUUCCCACUGAUACUGGCCCCCUUUGACACUGAUACAUUAUUAAAUUUUGGUUUUGUAACCUGAA